AAAAAGGGCACAUUCGAAACAAGGCCUUCAAACUAAGAAUAUCCUCUAGCAGCGUUGUGACACGCAUAUCCUGUGUGUCACACUCAUUUAAAAGGAUACAACUUCUUCUCACUCCAUCAUUCUUUCCCCUUAUAACCUCCAAAACAAUAAACAAUCUCCGACAUUCAAUAAGCAAUAAACAAUCCCCACUCUUCACGGUAAUACUCUAGUAUACCAUUCAAUUGCACAAGGUAGCCAACCUAAUCGACCAAGUCCUUUACUGGCUCGGCUAGAGUAGCUUGCCAAGGCUUAGGGCCCAAUUCGACCGAUGAAACAAGGUUCACGCAGUCUACAAUCGUUCAUGCACAGUCAAAUAACAUUCAUUUCAAUUCAAAAGGCAGUUGCAGUGAAGUACACACCAACCUUUGCAUUCACCUCGAAUAAUCAAGCACAUUCAACAAAUAACAAGUACAAGUAACUUAAGAACACUCACCCAAUUCCAAAUAAAUCACUCUUGAGCCUCGGGUUAGCUUCCUGGCUUACAGCUACCCCCUUGAGACAAUUUAUAACUCUAAAGUGAAUAUACAAUUUGUAGAUGAUCACUUAUCAUUUGUUGUCUUAUGAUUCAAACUAUUAAAGUCGAGUUUUGGCUUUAAAAUACAAGAUAUAACAUAUCCAACACCCAUCUUACAUUUUAUCUCGAAACAUAACAACUUUAUCAUUUUAACCAAAGAAAUAUACAUAUUUUCCGAGUUUAUAGUCUUGUAAGAUGUUUAGACUAGGAUUAAACCAUUUUCUAUUCAAUAUUCUAAGAUUAAGGCAUAUGGACAUUCCAUUUGUUUCCUUUUUAAACUAACCAAACUCUCAGCUGUUUGUAAAUUAAAUUUUAUUCCACUAUACCAGCCCCUCAAAUUCUAAAGUCUUUAAAAUGCUCAUGAAAACAAGAUUAAGUGGUUAGAAGCCAUUUCAUGUAUAUAGCUAUAACAAGUUAUCUUAGAGUUUCCAAAAACAUCAUAGAAGGCUUAACUAGCUACCAUUUCGGCCAUCAAACCAAAAUUCCAGCAAUAUACUUCAGAUUUUCAACAAAACUUCAUUCCUUUAUUUGCUUACAGCUUUGAAUACUUUAAUGCACUUUCAGUCCAGUAUAAACCAAGACAAAUAACAUCUUGUUACAGCAAUUUAUUCAAUCAAAUGUUAUUCACAGAAUCAGCCAUCAUUAUUUGUAGUAGUCAUUAGCUCCUUCCAACAAUAACAGCUUAAUUCACAGCUUUUCUCCCUAUUUGCUUUAAUUUAACUCUACUCAUGGGGCCAAACAUAAUUAUUAAACCACAGAGCAGCCUUAGCUAUUAUCUCUGAAGGCUUACAAAGUUGGAAAUUGGAAGAAAUGCUGUUCAAAAGUUGAUUUCCUCCCUCUCAGCAUCAUAGCAGAUUGCAUCAGCUUUCUUUUGCCAAACUCAGCUAGAAUUUUCCAAAGUUUUACUAAUUUCAAAGGCACCUAUCUGUUAAGUCAAGGGAUUAACAUAUAUUCCAUGUGUUUAUUAGUAAAAGUUUCCAGAAUCAACAACAACAAGUUACACAUCUGGUUUUCAUUCCCUCGACACAUUAUGUUCCAGCAAGUAGACAGUUGCUGAGCAAUUUUCUCUUUAACAAUCUAAAAUUCCGCAUGUAUGUUAGAGUUAAUAUGUUAGGAGGUGUUUGAAUUAUAAGAUAAGAUUCUGCAACUAGGUUUCCAUAGAGAAAACUGGAAUAUUUCCAUCUUUCUCCUUCGGCCGGUUUAGCAGAAUCCUCCAACUGUUUCUUGCAAAAACUCACCCUCAAGUUAUCAACUCUGUUUUAAAUCCUCAGAUAGCACCAGAGUGUGAACAUAUAACUUGAAUUCUUAAAUGAAAAUGGUUCCAUAUUCUCAAAUGGUAAGCUACACAUCCAAUUCUUUCUCUCGGAUGGUGCUGACAGAACUUCAUCAGGUUUCAUUCACAGUUCCAGCUCAAAGUUCUAAUUUUUCAUUCUACGGCUAACCCCUUAUAAACCGAAGAUAAAUCUGUUACAUGCACUUCCUAACAUUAUUAACCCAAGAAAUGUUAAUAACAGUUGCAAAUUCCAGCUUUAAGCUCAGCUUCUGCAAUUUCUUUUUCUUCCCUGCAGUUUCACAACUGCUGCACGAAAUUUUCUUCAGCCGGAAGCUCAAUUCCUAGCUAAGUUCAACAUAUAGCUGGUGUUUAACCAAUUAUACCAAAUAAACAGUGAGUUGUUAUAGUGUUUUACCUCUUCCUCCUAAGGUUCGACGUUGCAGGCUGCUCAAGUUUCUGUUUCAGUUCCUCAAGUCCUAACACCAGCUUCUCCUACUUUCCUUGCGGUAAUCUUUCUUGUCUUUGGUUAGUUGGUGAUGAAGCUAACCAAGCUUUCUCUCCCACCCUCUCAGUUUUUUCUCUUAGUGUUGGGUUGGAAAGAAAAGGAAUUGAAGCUUUGUUUCUCCUCUCGGCCACCGUCCAAAUCUUUUAGCAGAUGAUUUCUCCUUGUUUUCUCUCGGUCACCGCUUAGACUUGGCAGAUUUUGGCAGCGCAUUUCUCUUUGGUUUUCUCUUAGUCACCGCCCAAAUGUUUUGGCAAUUGAUUUGCCCAAGUCCCUCUCAG
rnacentral:lncRNA from 1 species